rnacentral:snRNA from 1 species
GUGCUCGCUUUGGCAGCACAUAUACUAAAAAUGGAACAGUACAGAGAAGAUUAGGAAGGCCCCCGUGCAAGAAUGACAUGCAAUUUGCAAAGCAUUUCAUU